rnacentral:rRNA from 1 species
AGUGGCACGCGAGCUGGGUUCAGAACGUCGUGAGACAGUUCGGUCCCUAUCUGUUGUGGGCGUAAGAAAUUUGAGAGGCUCUGACUUUAGUACGAGAGGACCGAGUUGGACGAACCUCUAGUGUACCGGUUGUGGUGCCAACUGCACCGCCGGGUAGCUACGUUCGGUGAGGAUAAGCGCUGAAAGCAUCUAAGUGCGAAACCCUCCUCAAGAUGAGAUUUCUUUUAAAGGUCGUUAUAGACGAUAACGUUGAUAGGCUGCAGGUGUAAAGGCAGUAAUGUCAAAGCCGAGCAGUACUAAUUACCUGUAAGCUUUUUAU